rnacentral:rRNA from 1 species
AGCUCCAAUAGCGUAUAUUAAAAGUUGUUGCAGUUAAAAAAGCUCGUAGUUGGAUUUCUGUUUUGAGGGUUCGGUCGUGUCUACGACAUGGACUAGUCCUUGAAGCAUAUUUUGUGAGGAUCUAUGCUGGCAUUAAGUUGUUGGUGUAGAGGCUUGCAUCGUUUACUGUGAAAAAAUAGAGUGUUUCAAGCAGGCGUUGC